GAUGAACGCUGGCGGCGUGCCUAAUACAUGCAAGUCGAGCGAACAGACGAGGAGCUUGCUCCUCUGACGUUAGCGGCGGACGGGUGAGUAACACGUGGAUAACCUACCUAUAAGACUGGGAUAACUUCGGGAAACCGGAGCUAAUACCGGAUAAUAUAUUGAACCGCAUGGUUCAAUAGUGAAAGACGGUUUUGCUGUCACUUAUAGAUGGAUCCGCGCCGCAUUAGCUAGUUGGUAAGGUAACGGCUUACCAAGGCAACGAUGCGUAGCCGACCUGAGAGGGUGAUCGGCCACACUGGAACUGAGACACGGUCCAGACUCCUACGGGAGGCAGCAGUAGGGAAUCUUCCGCAAUGGGCGAAAGCCUGACGGAGCAACGCCGCGUGAGUGAUGAAGGUCUUCGGAUCGUAAAACUCUGUUAUUAGGGAAGAACAAAUGUGUAAGUAACUAUGCACGUCUUGACGGUACCUAAUCAGAAGCCACGGCUAACUACGU
rnacentral:rRNA from 1 species